UUUAAUCGGAAAAAUAAUUGUAUGUAAUUGUGUCUCAAUAUAAAUGAAGUGUUAUAUAUUCACCUUUUGUUUAUAUUUUGUAUUUAUGCAUUUUUGGUCUUCUCCAUAACAACAUUUGUGUUAUUGUCAAUGAAAAAGUAGGUUCAGUUUUAGUGUUCUGUUUUGAAAUUGAUUCAGGACAAGUUCCGGAGAUGCAUCUUCG
rnacentral:lncRNA from 1 species